CGUGAGCGCGCGCCCGUGUGACUGCGCCCUGGAGGACGCGUGUGCUCAGGAGAGAGAGCCUGGGCGGCAGUGUCAGAGAGGCUCUCAUCCUCGGGCCUCUGGACAUCUGCCUGCGAAGGACCCAAGGACCGGCUCGCGUGAUUCCCAGACGCCGGCUCCCGGCCCCUACUGCAGGAAGGGCCUCUAGCCUUUGCUCCCCGCCCUCCCCGGCUUCCAAGCCUCGACCAGCUCUCAUCCUCGGGCCUCUGGACAUCUGCCUGCGAAGGACCCAAGGACCGGCUCGCGUGAUUCCCAGACGCCGGCUCCCGGCCCCUACUGCAGGAAGGGCCUCUAGCCUUUGCUCCCCGCCCUCCCCGGCUUCCAAGCCUCGACCAUUCUGUUGGAAUAGAGUUGAGCAAAAUAACACCGAACAGUUGUUUUUAUUCUUCUUCAUCGAUUGUGAAUUCACCUUUUAAAUUUCUGGUACUGCCUUAGGUAAGAAGAGGAGCAAGAACUUCCUCUGAUCACUUGCCUUCCAUUUCCUGCUGUGCGUGCCCCCCUGAAGGAAGGCUGGUGGCUCUGCUUCAGUGCAAGACAUCUUACACCUCCUACUGACAGACUGACUCCUGCUGGUGAGAGAUUCUCUGUGGAGAGCCUCUGGUGUGAAGAGGAGCAGCAUUCCCUUCGACCUCAGCCCUUCCAUCUCCUGCUGCACCUGUCCCUUGAGGGAAGAGGAAAGUCAGCAGGGAGUGGGACUUCGAACUCCUGCUGCAUCACCUUCUGACUCAUCUCCAGCCUUCUGACAGAAGAGAAGCAGUGAAAUGGGGCCUCCCAUCUGACCAUCUGACUGUGUGCCUUCCAUUUUCUGCUGUACUUGUCUUUUGCCUGAUCUUCAGCCUCCUCUGGGAAGAGGAGUGGUGCCUUCCCUUCAAUAAUGAACAUUCCCACAACUGGUCACACUUUACAGAUCCCAGUGAUUCUGAACCCCUAUAGGUCAUCAUCCAAACCCCAUUCUCCAUCCCCCACCACCCGAUUCCUUAUUUCCAUCCCCCUCAACCCUCCCACCCCAAAGUCCCAGCCAAAUGCUGCCCCUUCCACUGUGUCCUCUGGAAUGCCUGUUCCAUAGGCAACAAACUUCCCUUCAUUCUAAAUCCUCUUCCCCUCCCACUCCAUCCAUCUUCUAGCUAUCACUGAAACCUGGCUGCCCUCUGAUGACACAGCAUCCCUGGCCACACUUUCAAGUACUGGCUGUACUUUCACUCAUUAUCCGUGGCUUACUGGUCGAGGCAGAGGAGUUGGAAUGCCCCACUGCCACUUCCAGGUUCUCCCUUCCUCCAUCUCUCAGCAGCCUCUCCUUUGAGGGUCAUGCAGUUGGUCCCUUCCACCUAAUCACAAUCCUGGUAGCUGUUGUCUACAUACCUCCAGGCAACCUCCCUUCCUUGUUCGAUGAAUUCAGUUAUGUCUCACAGUUUUUCUUGCCUCGCCAACUCCUGUUUUCAUACUGGUGGACUUCAAUGUACCUAUUGACUUUUACUCAAAACAGCCUAACCACUCAUUCCCCUGACUUACUCCUGCACCUUUUAGCCACCCACAAAGGUGGUCAUACCCUUGUCACCCACAAAUGUUCAAGAAGUCUGAAAUCCCCUUUUUUGACCAUAAUAUAUUAGUUUUUUACAUCCCUCUUUCCUUAUCACACCCUACUUUUCAUCCAUUCCUAUCCCUUAACUCCGCCAUUCUUUCCAAUCCCAUCUCUACUGCACUAGCCAUUCUUUUUUCUUCUCUAACCUGACAUCUUUGUUAACCAAUUCACCUCUACACUGCCCUCUUCAAUCACUGGCCCCCCCAAAGUAUCCCUGCUUAUGCCCAUUCAAGCUUCACUUUUGAGUGACUCCCACCAUUUACCACUUUCUGACUUUACAGGUACACGCACGCGCGCACACACACACACACACACACACACACACACACACACACACACAUACACUGGUGAACAAAGGUAGAAACAAUCACAGUCGCUCUGAGUCUGCUAUAAAUUUAUGUUACCCAGUUUUUUGAUGAUAUCCCGUGUACAGAAUCAAAAUGGACAGGGCAUUAAGAGCACCAUCUUGUGGCUGACUCAGAUAUUAUACUCUUCUUGUGGCAUUGUGUGUCCAAAACAUAGUAUUAGACUUGGACUCAUUUAAAACCUAGAUUUACUGGAUUGCAACCCAUGUGGCACCUAACUCACAUUUAACCAAUGUGAAGGAUGGCAGAAUGGAGCAGAAAAGAAUGAUGGGUUGAAGUAAGUUGUGAACUCCUUCUGUGUCAAUAUAAAUUCAGACUAAAUCAUCCUCAUUAAAAUUGCCCAUUACAGUCUUACCCCUAUGAAAGGUCAUCUGACAUAGGAUUAAGACUUAAUAGCAGUGGAGAUAGUGUUGAGCGGAUUUCAGCCCACAAUGUACCUGUUGCCCAUCUACAAAAGUAAAUAUUGAAGGAAAUAAAUACAGGGAAGAGAAAUGAUCAUUUUAAUAGCAUUUCUUAAGUUGGCAUUAAAAUUAGAAAAUAAAUAACACAAGUUUGACUUGUGGUAACAUUUUACUAGCGUUAAAUUGGGUAUGCAGGCGAUUGCUUGUCCAGGAGGGUGAGGGCUUAUCAAAACCAUUAAUGCUGGAGUAUUCAAAAUCAGAUAGUAGGUGAGGCUUACAGCAGUGCUCUAAUCAUUGUACUCAGUAGUCAAGCUAGGAUUCAGAUCUGGUGCUUCUGACUCCAAUUACAGUGAUCUUACCACUGGACCAUGUUCUCCAUCUUCCUCCAUCUGUGGCAAUCCAUUCUGAACCAAUCCAUCUCUCUCUCUCUCUCUCUCACUCUCCCCCCGUCUCCCUCCCCCCCGCCCUCCUUUUUUCCUCCCUCCCCUCUCCUUUCAGUCACUACCAAUCUUUUCCAAUGUAUGGUCUACAUGUGCUGUCUCAAAUUCCCUUUCUACCUACCCAUUCCUUAGGUUAGUAAGUGGGUCCGCAGGCUCAUAGUCAAAGAUUUAUGUCUGGAGUGGACCUCAGAACCCAUCUAGUUCAAUCCCCUUAUUUGACAGAGGCUAAAGGAGAUGAAGUGAUUUGUAUGAGAUGAUGCAGUUUGCAAGUGCCUGAAGCAGGAUUUGACACCAGGUCUUCCUGCCUCAAAGAUCAGGGGUGUAGCCAUGAGAUCAUACUUUCUCUUAUCCCCUCAUCUUAUUUGGUUACUCUUAUCUCUAAGUUCUAAGACAAGUGUAAUGGAUCGAUUUAUUUUUGAAAUUAUAAAAGAAAACUUAUUUUCCCCAAAUACAGUGUUCCUUGUGGUAAACAUUGAAUAGAUAAUUGUUGAUCUGACUUAAGUUC